rnacentral:rRNA from 1 species
GGGCACGGGGUGCUAACAUGCAGUCGACGAUGAACCCGGUUUCGGCCGGGGAUUAGUGGCGAACGGGUGAGUAACACGUGGGCAAUCUGCCCUGCACUCUGGGACAAGCCCUGGAAACGGGGUCUAAUACCGGAUACGACGCGUUCCCGCAUGGGAUACGUGUGGAAAGCUCCGGCGGUGCAGGAUGAGCCCGCGGCCUAUCAGCUUGUUGGUGGGGUGAUGGCCUACCAAGGCGACGACGGGUAGCCGGCCUGAGAGGGCGACCGGCCACACUGGGACUGAGACACGGCCCAGACUCCUACGGGAGGCAGCAGUGGGGAAUAUUGCACAAUGGGCGCAAGCCUGAUGCAGCGACGCCGCGUGAGGGAUGACGGCCUUCGGGUUGUAAACCUCUUUCAGCAGGGAAGAAGCGUGAGUGACGGUACCUGCAGAAGAAGCGCCGGCUAACUACGUGCCAGCAGCCGCGGUAAUACGUAGGGCGCAAGCGUUGUCCGGAAUUAUUGGGCGUAAAGAGCUCGUAGGCGGCUUGUCGCGUCGGAUGUGAAAGCCCGGGGCUUAACUCCGGGUCUGCAUUCGAUACGGGCAGGCUAGAGUUCGGUAGGGGAGAUCGGAAUUCCUGGUGUAGCGGUGAAAUGCGCAGAUAUCAGGAGGAACACCGGUGGCGAAGGCGGAUCUCUGGGCCGAUACUGACGCUGAGGAGGCGAAAGCGUGGGGGGGGAAAAAAGGGGGAAAGGGGGGGGUAAG